GGCGAGAUGGCCGAGCGGUCUAAGGCGCCAGACUAAGGCUUACUCAGAAGUUGGUAUCUGGUCCUCACGGGCGUGGGUUCGAAUCCCACUCUCGUCA